rnacentral:tRNA from 1 species
AGCCUUGUCGUCCAAUCGGCAGGACGCCCGACUGUUGGUCGGGAGAUACAGGUUCAAUCCCUGUCGCGGCUGCCA